AAAAAUUUGGAUAUCCCUGCUUUACGUCAAGAAAAACAAAGACACUGUAUCUUUAGAAUGCCUAAACACACUACCAGCCAUGCAAAUAACAUGAGACAGGCCAUCAGUUUCCCACCUGAUUAUCUGUAUCCUUGGCAUGGCUUUCUUGGCGUUCUGUGGAUGCUUUUAACUAUUGUGUUUCUGGGAGUUUCUACCGUUGGCCUUUUCCUCCGAAAAAUUACCUUCUGUCGCUGUGCUCAAGCCUUGGAGAGGGAGACGGCAGAGAGCAAGGCUGCCUACAAGCGGCACAGAUGGAGAAUCAGGAAAAGAAAAGAGUGCCAGGGAGACACAUGAGUGAGGAGCCAGCCCAGAAACGCCUGUGCCUGAAGAACGCUUUCUGGCGAGAUUCAGGACCUCAUUCGGUUCCCAUGAGGAACAGCAGCUGCGUCCCAAGUGAAAUCACAGAGAAGACAAAGGUUAACAUGGCUGCAGCACAGCGUCAUCACUGCUCAGCAUUGCCCUGCUCACCCUACCUCAUGGCUGACCCUUCAGGACCACUGAUGGCUUGCCCGCCACCUCCUCCAUCUGGGUGUCGCCUGGGAGCUCCACCAUUUCAUCAGCUAAAGGUGUUCUGGGACCUCUGACAACUCCUCGACUCCAGUGUCCACUAGGACCUCUGCGAGCUUCGUCAGAUGAUGAGUUUUCGAGACCACAGACACCUACACCCGCAUGUCUUCUGGCUGCUUUACCACCUUCUUCAGCCAAUGAUUUUCUGAGCUUAUACACAAUUCCACCUGAGUGUCUAUGCACGCCUCUGCCAGCUUUGUCAGAUGAUGAGUUGUCGAGACCACAGACACCUACACCCAAAUGUCUUCUGGCAGCUUUUCCACCUUCUUCAGCCAAUGAUUUUCUGAGCCCAUACACAAUUCCACCUGAGUGUCUAUGCACACCACUGCCAGCUUCGUCAGAUGAUGAGUUUUCGAGACCACAGACACCUACACCUGAAUGUCUUCUGGCAGCUUUUCCACCUUCUUCAGCCAAUGAUUUCUGAGCCAUACACAAUUCCACCUGAGUGUCUAUGCACGCCUCUGCCAGCUUCGUCAGAUGAUGAGUUUUCGAGACCACAGACACCUACUCCUAAGUGUCUUCUAGCUUCUUUACCACCUUCUUCAGCCAAUGAUUUUCUCGGCUUAUACACAAUUCCACCUGAGUGUCUAUGCACGCCUCUGCCAGCUUCGUCAGAUGAUGAGUUUUCGAGACCACAGACACCUACACCUGAAUGUCUUCUGGCUGCUUUACCACCUUCUCCAGCCAAUGAUCUUCAGAGUCUGUACGCAACUCCACUCAAAUGUCUACAGACACCUCUACCACUGUCUACAGAUGAUGAUCUUUGAAAACCACGGACAGCACCACUCAAGUGUCUUCUGGCACCUGUUGCACCUUCUCCAGAUGAUGAUACUUCAAGAACACAGACACCACCACUUGAGUGCCUUCCGGCAUCUAUACCACCUUCUCCGGAUGAUAAUCUUUGAAAACCACAGACACCACCACUCAAGUGUCUUCUGCCACCUGUACCACCUUCUCCAGAUGAUAAUCUUUGGAGACCACAGACACCACCACUCGUGUCUUCUGCCACCUGUACCACCUUCUCCAGAUGAUGAUCUUUGGAGACCACAGACACCACCACUCAAGUGUCUUCUGCCACCUGUACCACCUUCUCCAGAUGAUAAUCUUUGGAGACCACAGACACCACCACUCGUGUCUUCUGCCACCUGUACCACCUUCUCCAGAUGAUAAUCUUUGGAGACCACAGACACCACCACUCGUCUUCUGCCACCUGUACCACCUUCUCCAGAUGAAUCUUUGGAGACCACAGACACCACCACUCGUGUCUUCUGCCACCUGUACCACCUUCUCCAGAUGAUGAUCUUUGGAGACCACAGACACCACCACUCAAGUGUCUUCUGGCAUCUCUACCACCUUCUCCGGAUGAUCAUCUUUGCAAACC